GCUGUGGGCCCUGAAAGUUGUCGAGUGCGCCUGUCCCUGUGGUGGGAGCAGUGGCGCCGAGCGUGCCCACGGGCCGCCGCUUGGGUUUCUCUCGUGUUCAGGGUAGUAUGGACGUGGACAAUGGCAGUGGCCCCUGGCUGGCCCAAGAGCCGGGUCCAGAUACGCGCGCCUGAUUCCAGGCGUCAUAACCAACCCGGGGCCGCGAGGCUGGGAUCAGGCACCCCGGAGCCGCUUGCCCGUGGCCGGGCUGCUCUCCCCCUCUAAGCCUAAGCACCGCCAGUCGCGGCGCUGCGCUUUCCGCCGACCUCCCAGAGCGUCCCGCCGUCGCCGGCGGCCAGCCUCGCGCAGGACCAGUGUGGCGCCGCCCUGCUGUUGCUGGGGGGCGCCCGAGGCCUCCAUUCCUUGCCCAGGCUUCCGGCUCUCGGGGCGGCCUCCCUUCCGCCCACGCUCCAGGGCUUCCCCGGCUCCCGAGCUCCGAGCUUCCACCACAUCGGCCGGCUCAGGACAGGGCUUCCACUGUAAAGUCGGCUGCCAGACGUGUUGGAGCUCACCGGAUUUGUCCCUGGUGCCUUAUUUAGUUCACUUGAACCCAGAGUUGAUCUCUGCAGCAUGCCAUCACUGCUGGGGAUGAGGAAACGGUGAUUUCAGGACUGUUUUUUCUGUCUCUUCAGUGCCUCUUUCAGUGAUCUGAGGUUAAAACCAGACUAUGGAGGAUUCAUCAACAGACCAGGAAGCAACAGCCUGGGCUCCAGAAUUGACCAGUAGUCCGUGCACAGACGAGGAGAGGUCCCAUGAAACUUCGGCGCAGUCUGGGAACCGAGCUCUUUUUGUAACAAGUUGUUUGUCAGGAGGCCCGGUCAUGAAAGCCCUUCCUGACUGGGCUCAAGGAAUACAAAAAGGACAACUUGUUUUUGCCAUUGUCUGUUGUUUUUCAAUAACUAGUUCUCCGAAACAGCACUGGAUGAAUGCCUCAAGGGGCUCACACAACUCGUUCCAGGACUUAGUGACCAUUGUUUCUGUCCCUGUUCAAUAGAGUUCAAAUUUAAUAUUUAAAUUUUGCUCCACAAUGUGCCAUAUUAUCUGUAUCCAACCUGUCAUUGGGCAUUUAGGUUGAUUCCAUGUCUUUACUAUUGUGAAUAAUGCUGCAAUAAACAUUUACGUGCUUGUGUCUUUAUGAUAGAACAAUUUAUAUACCUCUGGGUAUAUACCCAGUAAUGAGAUUGCUGGGUCAAGUGAUAGUUCUGCUUUUAUCUCUUUCGAGGAGAGCACUGUUGUGCUUUCCACAAUGGUGGGACCAAUGUACACUCCCAAGCAUCUGUCAUUUUUUGACUUUUUCAUAAUAGCCAUUCUGACUGGUGUGAGAUGGUGUCUCACUGUGCCUUGGAUUUGCAUUUCUCUAAUGAUCAGUGAUACUGAGCUUUGUAUUCUAUGGUUGUUGGUCACAUGUAUGUAUUCUUUUGAAAAGCAUUCAUGUCCUUUGCCCACUUUUUAAACAUUUUUUUAUUUCCAUAGGUUUUAGGACAACAGGUGGCAUUUGGUUACAUUAGUAAGUUCUUUAUUGAUUUGUAAGAUUUUGGUGCAUCCAUCAACUCAUCUGUAUACACUGAACCCAAUUUGUAGCCUUUUAUCACUCACCCCCUUCUCCCGUUUCUCCCUGAGUCCCCAAAGUCUAUUGUGUCAUUCUUAAGCUUUUGCAUCCUUAUAGCUUAGCUCCCAAUUAUAAGUGAGAAUAUAUGAUGUUUGGUUUUCCAUUCCUGAGUUACUUCACUUAGAAUAAUAGUCUUCAAUCCCAUCCAGGUUGCUGCAACUGCCAUUAAUUCAUUUCCUCUUUAUGGCUGAGUAGUAUUCCAUUGUGCAUAUAUACCACGGUUUCUUCAUCCACUCGUUGAUUGAUGAGCAUUUGGAUUGGUUCAACAUUUUUGCAAUUGCAAAUUGUGCUGCUAUAAAUAUAUGUGUGCAGGUAUCUUUUUUGUAUAAUGACUUUUUUUUCCUCUGGGUACAUAGCCAGUAGUGGGAUUGGUGGGUCAAAUAGUACUUCUACUUUUAGUUCUUUAAGGAAUCUCCACACUGUUGUCCAUAGUGAUUGUACUAGUUUACAUUCCCACCAGCAGUGUAGAAGUGUUCCCUUUUCACUACAUUCACAUCAACAUCUAUUUUUUUUUUAUUAUGACCAUUCUUGAGAGAGUAAGGUGGUAUCACAUUGUGGUUGUAAUUUGCAUUUCCCUGAUCAUUAGUGAUGUUGAGCAUAUUUUCAUAUGUUUGUUGGCCAUUUGUAUAUCUUCUGAGAAUUGUCUAUGACCAUACUGCCAAAAUCAAUCUACAAAUUCAAUGCAAUUGCCAUCAAAAAACCAUCAUCAUUCUUCACAGAACUAAAAAAAAAAAUCCUAAAAUUCAUAUGGAACCAAAAAAGAGCCCACAUAGCCAAAGCAAUACUAAACAAAAAGAACAAAUCAGAAGGCGUCACAUUACCUGAUUUCAAACUAUAUCGUAAGACCAUAGUCACCAAAACAGCAUGGUUCUGGUAUAAAAACAGGCACAUAGACAAAUGGAACAUAAUGGAGAACCCAGAAAUUAACACAAAUAUUUACAAUCAACUGAUCUUUGACAAAGCAAACAAAAACAAAGUGGGGAAAGAACACCCUACCCAACAAAUGGUGCUGGGAUAAUUGGCAAGCCACAAGUAGGAGAAUGAAACUGGAUCUUUAUCUCUCACCUUAUACAAAAAUCAACUCAAGAUGGAUCAAGGACUUAAAUCUAGGACCUGAAAGUAUAAAAAUUCUAGAAGAUGACAUCAAAAACACCCUUCUAGACAUUGGCUUAGCAUGGAUUUCAUGACCAAGAACCCAACAGCAAAUGCAAGAAAAACAAAGAUAAAUAGUUGGGAUUUAAUUAAACUAAAGAGCUUUUUCGCGGCAAAAGGAACAGUCAGCAGAGUUAACAGAAAAUCCACAGAAUGGGAGAAAAUCUUCACAAUCUGUAUAUCUGACAAAGAACUAACAUCCAGAAUCUACAACGAGCUCAAACAAAUUAGCAAGAAAAAAACAAACAAUCCCAUCAAAAAGUAGGCUAAGGACAUGAAUAGACAAUUCUUUGGCCACUUUUUAAUAGGGUUGUUUGUUUUUCUCUUGUAAAUUUAAGUUCCUUAUAUUGAAUAUUAGAUCUUUGUCAGAUACAUAGUUUGUAAAUAUUUUUUCUCAUUCUACAGGUUGUCUGUUCACUCUAUUGAUAAUUUCUUUUGCUGAGCAGAAGAUUUUAAGUUUAAUUAGAUCCCACUUGUCAAUAGUUGCAUUUGUUGUUUUUGGUGUCUUUAUCAUGAAAUCUUUGCCUGUUUCUAUGUCCAGGAUGGUAUUGCCUAUGUUGUCUUCCAGGGCUUUUUAUAGUUUUGGGUUUUACAUUUAAGCAUUUAAUCCAUCUUGAGUUGAUUUUUGUGUAUGGUAUAAGGAAGCAGUCCAACUUCAAUCUUCUGCAUAUGGCUAGCCAGUUAUCACAGCACCAUUUAUUGAAUACGGCAUCUUUUCCCCAUUGCUUGUUUUUGCCAGCUUUGUCAAAGAUUAGAUAGUUGUAGGUAUGUGGUCUUAUUUCUAAGCUCUCUAUUCUGUUCCAUUGGUGUAUGUGUCUGUUUUUGUAUUAGUACCAUGCUGUUUUGGUUACUAUAGUGCUGUAGUACAGUUUGAAGUCAGGUAAUGUGAUGCCUCAAGCUUUGUUCUUUUUGCUUAGGAUUGCCUUGGCUACUUAGGUUCUUUCUUGGUUCUAUAUGAAUUUUUAAAUAGCUUUAUCUACUUCUGUGAAGCAUGUCAUUGGUAGUUUAAUAGGAAUAGCUUUGGGCAGUAUGACCAUUUAAAUGAUAUUACUUCUUUCUCUCCAUUAUCAUGGAAUGAUUUUUCAUUUGUUUGUGGCUUCUCUAACUUCUUUGAUCAGUGUUUUAUAAUUUUCAUUGUAGAGAUUUUUCACCUCCCUGGUUAGCUGUAUUCGUACGUAUUUUAUUCUUUUUGUGGAAAUUGUGAAUAAAAUUGCCUCUCUGAUUUGGCUCUUAGUUUGUCUCUUCUUGGUGCAUAGGAAUGCUAGCAAAUUUUGUAUAUUAAUUUUGUAUCCUGAAACUUUGUGGAAGUUGUUUAUCAGCUUAAGGAGCUUUUGGGUCACAACUAUAGAGUUUAGAUAGAGAAUUAUAUUGUCUGCAAACAGAGGUAGUGGGACUUCUCUUUCUAUUUAAAUACCUUUAUUUCUUUCUCUUGUCUGAUUGCUCCAGAAAGGACUUCUAAUACUAUGUUGAAUAGGAGUGGUGAAAGAGGGCAUCCUUGUCUUGUGCGGGUUUCAAGGAGAAUGCUUCCAGAUUUUGCCCAUUUAGUAUAAUGUUGGCUGUGAAUUUGUCAUAGGUGGCCUUUAUUAUUUUGAGGUAUGUUCCUUCGAUACCUCGUUUAUUGAGAAUUUUUAACAUGAAGCUUUGUUGAAUUUUACUGAAAGCCUUUUCUGCAUCUGUUGAGACAGUCACAUGGUUCUUAUCUUUCGUUUUAUUUAUAUUAUGAAUCACAUUUUAUUGAUUUGCCCAUGAUGGACCAACCUUCCAUUCCAGGGAAGAAGCUUACUUCACUAUGGUGAAUUAGCCUUUUGAUGUGUUGCUAGAUUCAGUUUGCAAGUAUUUUAUUGUGGAUUAUUGAAUGGAUGUUCAUCAAGGAUACUGGCCUGAAGGUUUCUUUCUUUGUUGUGUCACUGCCAGGCUUUGGUAUCAGGAUGAUGCUGGCCUCGUAGAACAAGUUGGGGAAGAGUCCCUCCUCCUCUAUUUCUUGAAAUAGUUUUAGUAGGACUGGUACUGGCUCUUCUUUGUACAUCUGUUAAAAUUUGUUAAUCUAUCAGGUCCUGGGCUUUUAUGGGAGGUUGGUAGGCUAUUUAUUACGGAUUCAAUUUUUGGAGCUCAUAAUUGAUCUGUUCAGAGACUGAAUUUCUUCCUGGUUCAGUCUUGAGAGAGUGUAGGUGUUCAGGAAUUUAUUCAUCUCUUCUAGGGUUUCUAGUUUGUGUGUGCAGAGGUGUUCAUAGUAGUUGCUGGUUGUUAUUUUUAUUUCUGUGAGGUCAGUGGUAACAUUCCCUUCAUCAUUUCUAAUUGUGCUUCUUCGAAUCGUCUCUCUUUUCUUCUUUAUUAGUCUAGCUAGUGCCUAUCUAUCUUACUAAUUUUUUCAAAAAACCUUGAUUAAGUGAUCUUUUGAACAGCUUUUCUUGUCUCAAUUUCUUUCAAUUCAGCUCUGAUUUUAGUUAUUUCUUAUCUUCUAUAAGCUUUGUGUUUGAGUUCUUCUUGCUUCUCUAAUUCUUUCAGUUGUGAUGUUAGGUUGUUAAUUUGAGAUCUUUCUAACUUUUUGAUAUGGGGAUUACUUCUUAUGCCCUACUCUAACUUUUCUCCUUCUCCUAGAAAACUCAGAACUAUGCUUUCUAAACCAAUUCAAACUUUCUCAGUGAAUCAACCUGGUCUCCCUGAGGCAAAGUUAGCAAUUUUCCAUUACACAUGGUUCUCUUUCUCUGUAAGAAUAUCUAAUGCAACGAUGCAAGUGUUUCUUUCCCUCCUGGAUAUGCGGGGAACUACUUUUGGCUGAGACCAAGACUUAAAACCUUGUUCUUUCAACAUUAAUGAAGAUCUAUUUAGAAAGCCUCCAUUUUUACAGAAAAGAUUUAUAAAUACCAAUGAAAAUAAAUAUAAAAUUAUAUGGCAUACAAUUAUAUUGUGGAAAGACUGAACAAAUAAGUGAACUAAGCUCUAAGAAAAAAAGAUGAUGAUAUAAAAUGAUAUAUAAGUAAAGUCCUGGGCUGGUAUAGCAUAAUUAAUGUAUCAGUAAAGUAUGUACACUGUAGAAGUGGCAGGAAGACAGCAUAGAGAGUGAGACCUGACCAAAAGCUUUAAGGAAAGUUCUAUACCCUUAAAAGAGAUUAAAGUGGACUCAGGAAAACAUGGUCCACUUUAGGAGAAGGACACAUGUUCCAGACAGGCCAAAGCUCAGAGCAUCUCUACCUUCUCCAGGAGGAAAGGGGCAGCAAAGCAGCAGGCAGAGGGCAGCAAGGCCAGGUCAGCACAGGGCACCCAGGCCAAACCAGGUGGGCUCCAUCAUACAGGUAGUGAGGAUCCACUGCCAGGUGGGCUUUAUUCAUUAGUUUGUUUUGUUUUCUUCAGUAACUAAGACACGUGAUCAAAGCUGACCUUUCUAAAUAUUGCUGCAGCUGAACAUAAGAUGGAUAAAACUAGUGUUUUAAAAAUUAUGUUGUAUACAGCAUUAGCCCCAGUGAGAUAUUAGUGGAACACACAGGCACACACAUGCACACACACUCACACUGAGCCCAGAUUAUUCUGGCAAAUGCUGGGUUAAGCAAACUAAAAGAAACAUCUUUAGCGCUGGACUUCUCAGAACCUGGAAUGUGGCUCUAUGGCUCAUAAAACAGCAAGGUUAAGACAGAGCAUGUCAUUUUUUUCCCAGAAAUGUUGAAACACUUUCCUUCCCUUGGCUUCAGUGUCACCUUUCUCCUGGUUCUCCAUCAACCUCUUAGGCUGCUCCUUCUUGAUGUCCUUCUUGACAAUCUGCUGCUGCUCAGCCAUUCUCUUUUCAUUCCCCAUGGAUUUCUCAAGUGUGUUUCUAUUCCUGCAUAUUAAACUUUCCUUGUUUUUCCUGACACUUCUCCUUGUCUGACCCUCCCCUGUUCUAAGGCAGGUGUUCCAUCUGUGUGUGCUUUUGUCAUCCUGGGAUGCUCCCAGCAUGUUCCCUACCACACUCCAUCAGGUUUUCUCCCCAGACUCUGCGAGGGCAGCGGCCUUGUCUCCACCAUUCCUUCAAUGCUACGCACAUAACACAGAAGCUGACUCCAUAACAUUUAGUUGGCCAACUGAGACUAAAUGUAUGUUCCUCUAGAUCUUAAAAAGUUACAGAAACAUAGCACAAUAGUCAAAAAUUCUCUUUAGUCAGGAGUUCUCUAUAUAUGUACAACAGUUUGAAGUCAUUAUUAAGCAAAGUGAAACAAAACUGUCACAGAAUUCCCUAAGAUAAAUUAUUUUGCUUUAAUCUUCAAUUCAUCAUGUGAGAUAAUCAAGACCAUGUGUUAUUGUAAAUAUUUCUAUCUCAUAACACAACAACCUGAUUUUUAUUGUUUGAAAUAACCGCAAUAUAAAUCAGUUAAUUUAAAAUUGCAUAAAUAAUCCUUUCAAAUAAAAUUCUGUCUAAAUUUUACAUUACUCAUAUGUUCAAAUGAUAAUGAGCUCAUAGGCUUUUCCAAUACCUCAGUCAAAACAUUGUACUGAUUCCAGCUGUGGGAAUAGUAUCUGAAAGUUAUUUUACAGAUGGGGAAAACGUACUUAUGUGACAUUGGCCUUUGCACUACUGUGCCCUUUUGGGUCAGGAAAAAUCUCUUCCCUUAAAAUCCUAAAAUCUCUUCUGUCAGGUCUGAAGGGUGGGUGGGAAACAGAGUUUUUUAAAUCUAAGCCACAGAUGUUUUAUUCCUUGCUUAAAGCAGUGACUAGAUAAAGGCCACUAGAAGAGCCUCCAAUGCUUCUUCAGAAGCAUGUGCCUGAGAACAUCUUCCUGAAACACUCCCUUGUCUCUGCCCAAAAUCACCUUAGGUAGGAAAGUCAAAACUCAGCAGGCUGAGGAGAUCCAAGGGGAUCACUGAGCUCUGAGGCUUAUAAGAGAAGAGAGAGAGGUCUAAGUUUUUUGUGUAUAAAUUUAUGGGUUACAAGUGCAAUUUUGCUGUAAGCAUGGAUGGCAUAGUGGUGAAGUCAGGGCUUUUAGGGUAUCCAUCACCAGAAUAAUGCACAUUGUACCCAUUAAAUAAUUUCUCACUGUUCACCCCUUCCAUCCCCUCACCCUGCUGUGUCUCCAUUAUUAUUCCACUCUCUACAUCAAUACCUACACAUCUUUUAGCACCCGCUUAUGAGUGAUAAAAUACGAUGUUUACUCUGUGUCUGGCUUGCUUCACUUACAACAAUGGCCUCCAGUUCCAUCCAUGUGUCUGCAAAAGUUAUGAUUCUAUUUUUUGUGCCUGAAUAGUAUUUCAUUUUGUAUAUUUUCUACAUUUUCUUUCUCCAGUCAUUUGUUGAUGGACAUUUAGGUUGAUUUUAUAUCUGUGCUACUGUGAAUAGUGUUGCAACAAAUAUAUAAGUACAGUUAUCUUUCUGAUAUACUGAUUUCUUUUCCUUUGCAUAGAUACCCAGUGGUGGGAUUGCUGAAUCAGACAGAGCCAAUAGACGAUCAGUAAUGGUGGCCAAUCAUCAGCUAGAAACAAAGUAUUUAGCAGUGCUUGAAAACACCAAAACUCUGAGACCACUGACCUUCCAAAACUUCAACAGCCCUGAGUGAAAAGUCCAAACACAUUUAUCCACCAUUCAAAGACCCUUUAUUUUCUGUCCUCUGUGCAUCUCAGUAGUCUCUUUUUACCACACUGUCUAUAUACUGCAUGAGCCAUUUACGUGAAACUAUCUGACACUCCAAGGCAUCUUAUACUAUAUAUUCAACCAUGUAUCCCUAGUACCUAGCACAGUCCUGGCAUAUAGUUUGCUACUAAACAUUUGCAGAAUGAAGGAAUUAUCUUGUAUCCAGGUUCAAGUUUUAAGUUGAUUCUUCACUAAACAAAGUAUUACAGUUCACAAAUAAUCUACUUCCUUUUUUACAAAUGGGAUCGAUCUUAAUCUUAUCCCCUAAUAACAUUACUUUCAUUUACUCCCAUCUAAAUAUACUGUCCUAAGAGAGCAAUAAGAAAGAGAGUUGAAGCUGGAGCUUGAAGAAUUGUACAUGGUCCUGUGAUAACCUACCUUGUUUUAACCUGAGUGACUGUCUCCUAGCAGAGAGCUGGACAGACUCCAUUUUAGUUUCUUCAUGUGCAGCCCCCUUUACCUCCCUCCCUUAAGGACAUAACUAGUGUAAACUGACUCAAAGCAUGUCCAGGAAUCACUUACUGUUAAGAUAUUGAGGCAAGCUGCGCCAGCAGCUCCUGGGGAUGCGCUCGGUGAAUGGCACCCAAAACCCCUGCAUUUCUCUCUUUGUGAUAGUUUAAGCCCCUGCACCUGGAACUGUUUAUUUUUUUGCAACUGCUUUUGUAACCAAUUAAUUUUUUAACUUUUUGCCAGCUCUGCUUCUGUAAAAAUUGCUUCAGCCAAACUCCCCCCUCCCCUAUUUAGACCACGGUAUAAAACCAAAACCAACCCCUUCCUCGGGGCCGAGAGAAUUUUGAGCGUUAGCUGCCUCUCGGUCACCAGCUAAUAGAGGAUUCCUUAAUUUGUCUCAAAGUGUGGCAUUUCUCUAUAACUCGCUGGGUUACAACAGUCCACACUGUGGCCUGAGGCGCAUCGCCCACCUGAGCUUCAUCUGUUAGGUAUGUCAGGGAAGAUAAGCAGGGUAAGGAUGGCCUCAUCAGAGGGCCCCAGAUCUCUAGCUCCCCCAUCUGGCAAGUGCACCUCUGUGAACAAAGUCUUCAGAGCCAGAUGACAAGAACGGCCCAAUCAGUCCACCAGGGAAACCUGGGCCCAGUGUACGUCAAUGCAGAGCAUCAAGCACGGCGUAACAGGUGCACAGUUGCCUAUUCCUGUUCAGAGAUAACUGCAUCCCACACACUGUAAAAUGAGGAAAUGCAGAGAAGCAGAUGUAACUGAAGAAGACAGCAGGAGCAACAAGGAGGGACAACCACGACCUAGGAGGACACCAUGCCAGAGAGGCCUGGACCCCACGCUAGGCUCAGUGCCUGUUAUACUCUUGGGACCCAGCGCUUUCCUUCUCCAUCACGUGGCAUACUUGGCAUUAUUUGUUGUUUAAAAUAUUGUCCUUAGUUUUCACCUUUCCUAGGAGACACAGGCAGACCCUGUGACACUACAGCUGGCACACAGUAGGUGCAUCACAAACAUCUGCUGAGUUCACACACUCUUGCCUUCUCAAACCUUCUUGUCAAGUCUUCAGUGAAAAGGAAUUGCUGAUUGAGCAAGAAUUAAACUUCUAGAGACUCCUGGAUCCACUGAAGUUUGAGACAAGGUGAGAUUUGUUUACUGCCAUAUUCCUAGCUCAUAGCAUACUGUAGUCACUUAAAAAAUGUUUGUUGAAUAAGUGAGUGAAUUGAUUCAAUUGUCAUACUUAGCUAUAUAUUUUCUGAGUAAAACUGAUAAAUUUAAUAGUUUACUUCUAGUAUAAUUUUACUUUACUUAUUCAAUGAACCUGACAAUUCAACUAGGUGCCAGGCACACUGCUGCUGAAGAAAAAGAGGUAUAAGAUACAACUUCUGUCUAUAAGAAAGCCACAGUCUAAAAAGUAGAAACAUAUGAACAAAUUAUAACAAUAAAUAGGCUAAAUUCAAAAUCAGAGGGAUUUGUUUCUAUUUUAAACAGCUCUAGUCAGGAAGUGUUAGAAAGUUCUAAACAGGAAAUGUUCCAACACACCAUCUAAGUAUGAAGCAGAAGUCACCCAUAAUUGAGUUUGCUGCCACCAACCCCAAUAGCAAGAAUUCCAGUCCUGCUGCUGCAAAGUGUCACUCUGAUUUUAUUACUGCUGUGUAACCCAGUUUUAGACACUCUGGUUGUCACUUAAUGUUCUAAAAAAGUAUUAAAGAGAAAAUAUUAUUAUGGUGAUGAGUCCAUCCACUGCAGCCAUCUCAACAUCAUACCAAUUAUAAACCCUAUCAUUUAAAAAGAAAACUGUUAGUUUAACUUAUUUAUCCAAAUAUCAGUAAUACAUAAGCAUAUUUGCCAUCAGACUUUGGAUUUAUGGGUUAAAUAGCAUAUAAAUAUGAUUAGAGCCUUAAAGUUUACACUUUUCUGGUUCGCUCAAAUGUUUUCCAAAAUAGCAUAUGCCUUUCUAAACAAUUGUUAGUAUAUUUUUUAAAAUGAACAUUAAAAUGUAUAUUUUCUGAAAACAAAUACAGCUCCCAUUGGUGAAUGAUGAUAUUGAGAUACGACAGGCAACUUCUCUUGGGAACCAUUUAAUCAGUGCUCACUUUUACACCCUUUUCCGAAAUGUCAAUGGCUUUAAAAUAUAGAAGUAUAUUAUACAACUAAACUUAACACUUAUUCAGUAUUGUGCAAUAUUUAGUACUUGUUCUAGCUAUCUCUUGCUGAAUAGUAAGCCAUUCCAAAACUUAAGGAAUUAUUUAUUGUUUAAUAUUGUUUAUUGUUAUUAUUUGUUUAGUAAUUUUAAAUAACAUUAUUUCUCAUGGUUUUGUGGGUUGAUGGGCACUACAAAAGUUCUCUUUUGGAGUGUUUCUUGCAGUUGUGGUUGGUUGGCUGCUGCUGAAGUCACCUGAAAGCUCAACUAGGCUAAAGAGCCUAGACAGGUCACUCACAUGGCUGGCAGUGCAUAUUGGCUGCUGAGUGUGAUGCCUAUCUGUCCUCUCCAUGUUACCUGGAGUCCUCACAACGUGGUAGUUGGUCCCAAGACACACAGGCAAAUACCACAAAGCUUCUUAUGACCUGGCCUUGGAGGUCCUAGAAUAUGACCUCUGCUGCAUCCUAUUGGUAAAGCAAGUCAUUGUGACCAGCACAGAUUCAAGAAAUGGGACAGUAGACUCUACCUGUCAAGGUAAAGAGCAGCAUGUGCAUGCAGGGAGGAAAGAAAUUGAGGGCAUCAUCUUGAAGACUAUCAUAUCACACUAUUAUUCCAGCUAAUGAACAUUAUGUUUUAGAUGGGUAGUACUAGCUACUCAUGUCUCCCCCAGAAACCCAAGCUAGGCAUGGACAUAUUGAAGACUAUCAUAUCACACCAUUAUUCCAACUAAUGAACAUUAUGGUUUAGAUGGGUAGUACUAGCUAUUCAUCUCUUCCCCAGAAACCCAAGCUAGGCAUUGACAUACUGAAAAGAAUGUCAAUACCAUUAAAAAACUCUAGAAAAAUUAUAUGUGAUGACUGAGGUUAAUUCAGUCUGUCAAUUACAUCAAUAUAAUUCCCUUCUUGUAACACUAAAUAUGGUGAAACAGAAUUGAAUUCUACAAAAGUAUUUC
rnacentral:lncRNA from 1 species